AUCUACAGAUCGGAUGUAGAACC
rnacentral:snRNA from 1 species